GAUUAAGCCAUGCAUGUGUAAGUAUAAAUAAUUCUACUUUGAAACUGCGAAUGGCUCAUUAUAUCAGUUAUAGUUUAUUAGAAAAAAUGUACUACUUGGAUAACCGUAGUAAUUCUAGGGCUAAUACAUGAGUAAAUCCUCGACUUUGAAGAGGUGUGUUUAUUAGUAUGAAAACCAUAUGCUUCGGCAUAAUAGUGAGUAAUAAUAACCUUUCAUAUCGUAUGUUGAAAUAACGAUAGUUCUUUCAAGUUUCUGCCCUAUCAGCUUUCGAUGGUAGUGUAUUGGACUACCAUG
rnacentral:rRNA from 1 species